UACGUAGGGGGCGAGCGUUGUCCGGAUUUAUUGGGCGUAAAGAGCUCGUAGGCGGCUCGGUAAGUCGGAUGUGAAACCUCCAGGCUCAACCUGGAGACGCCAUCUGAUACUGCCGUGGCUAGAGUCCGGUAGGGGAGCGUGGAAUUCCUGGUGUAGCGGUGAAAUGCGCAGAUAUCAGGAAGAACACCCGUGGCGAAGGCGGCUCUCUGGGACGGUACUGACGCUGAGACGCGAAAGCGUGGGGAGCGAACAGG
rnacentral:rRNA from 1 species